AUUGAACGCUGGCGGCAGGCCUAACACAUGCAAGUCGAGCGGAUGAAGGGAGCUUGCUCCUGGAUUCAGCGGCGGACGGGUGAGUAAUGCCUAGGAAUCUGCCUGGUAGUGGGGGAUAACGUCCGGAAACGGGCGCUAAUACCGCAUACGUCCUGAGGGAGAAAGUGGGGGAUCUUCGGACCUCACGCUAUCAGAUGAGCCUAGGUCGGAUUAGCUAGUUGGUGGGGUAAAGGCCUACCAAGGCGACGAUCCGUAACUGGUCUGAGAGGAUGAUCAGUCACACUAGAACUGAGACACGGUCCAGACUCCUACGGGAGGCAGCAGUGGGGAAUGUUGGACAGAGGGCGAAAGCCUGAUCCAGCCAUGCCGCGUGUGUGAAGAAGGUCUUCGGAUUGUAAAGCACUUUAAGUUGGGAGGAAGGGCAGUAAGUUAAUACCUUGCUGUUUUGACGUUACCAACAGAAUAAGCACCGGCUAACUUCGUG
rnacentral:rRNA from 1 species